AACGAACGCUGGCGGCAUGCCUAACACAUGCAAGUCGAACGAGACCUUCGGGUCUAGUGGCGCACGGGUGCGUAACGCGUGGGAACCUGCCCUUAGGUUCGGAAUAACUCUCCGAAAGGGGUGCUAAUACCGGAUAAUGUCUUCGGACCAAAGAUUUAUCGCCUUUGGAUGGGCCCGCGUUGGAUUAGCUAGUUGGUAGGGUAAAAGCCUACCAAGGCGACGAUCCAUAGCUGGUCUGAGAGGAUGAUCAGCCACACUGGGACUGAGACACGGCCCAGACUCCAACGGGAGGCAGCAGUGGGGAAUAUUGGACAAUGGGCGAAAGCCUGAUCCAGCAAUGCCGCGUGAGUGAUGAAGGCCUUAGGGUUGUAAAGCUCUUUUACCCGGGAUGAUAAUGACAGUACCGGGAGAAUAAGCUCCGGCUAACUCCGUG
rnacentral:rRNA from 1 species